rnacentral:rRNA from 1 species
GCGCCUAACACAUGCAAGUCGCACGAGAAAGGGCUUCGGCCCCGGUAAAGUGGCGCACGGGUGAGUAACACGUGGGUAAUCUUCCCUCGAGCGGGGGAUAACAUUCCGAAAGGAGUGCUAAUACCGCAUAAGACCACGUCCUCGAAAGAGGAUGAGGUCAAAGCUGGCCUCUAUAUAUAAGCUAGCACUUGAGGAUGAGCCCGCGGCCCAUCAGGCAGUUGGCAGGGUAAUGGCCUACCAAACCUAAGACGGGUAGCUGGUCUGAGAGGAUGAUCAGCCACACUGGAACUGAGACACGGUCCAG